AUGCACGCUGGCGGCGUGCCUAAUACCUGCCAGUCGCGCGAACAGACGAGGAGCUUGCUCCUCUGACGUUAGCGGCGGACGGGUGAGUAACACGUGGAUAACCUACCUAUAAGACUGGGAUAACUUCGGGAAACCGGAGCUAAUACCGGAUAAUAUAUUAAACCGCCUGGUUCAAUAGUGAAAGACGGUUUUGCUGUCACUUAUAGAUGGAUCCGCGCCGCAUUAGCUAGUUGGUAAGGUAACGGCUUACCAAGGCAACGAUGCGUAGCCGACCUGAGAGGGUGAUCGGCCACACUGGAACUGAGACACGGUCCAGACUCCUACGGGAGGCAGCAGUAGGGAAUCUUCCGCAAUGGGCGAAAGCCUGACGGAGCAACGCCGCGUGAGUGAUGAAGGUCUUCGGAUCGUAAAACUCUGUUAUUAGGGAAGAACAAAUGUGUAAGUAACUAUGCACGUCUUGACGGUACCUAAUCAGAAAGCCACGGCUAACUACGUG
rnacentral:rRNA from 1 species